GGAAACCUUGUUACGACUUUUACUUCCUCUAAAUGAUCAAGUUUGGUCAUCUUUCCGACAACAUCGGGAGCGGAAAACCGCCUCCGCGCACCGGUCCGAAGACCUCACUAAAUCAUUCAAUCGGUAGUAGCGAC
rnacentral:rRNA from 1 species